ensembl:lncRNA LINC01877 long intergenic non-protein coding RNA 1877
GGUAGGUGGGAUCAGCUGGUUUGACUGCCGUUACUUACCCCAUUAAGGAGAUUAAACUAGGGGACUUUCAAGCAAGGGGAAUAACCUGAUCAGCUGUUUAUGUUAGCAGAACAUCUCCAGCAGCAGCUGGGAUGAUGAAGCAUCUUCUCUUGGCAAAGAAGAACACCAAAAUCAGAGAGGCCAGUUAGGAGGCUACUGCAAUAUUUCAGGGUCAGCCCAAGAAGCAGGAAGCAGCAGUGCAGGGAGAAAAGAGUACUGGAUUUAGAGUCAGACACCCAGGUUCAAGUUCUAGUUUGCAGUUCAUAGAAGCAGUCUUCCCAGCUUGAUUUUAUUCACAGAAGAAAAAAGGCACCCCUGGGAAGUGCCUGACAAAAGCUUGAAGAGAGAAGAGGCUCUGCUGUGGUUUGAAUGCGUCCCCCAAAGUUCAUGUGUUGGAAACUUGAUCCCCGAUGCAGCAGUACUGGGAGGAUGCCCUUUGCCAUGUUAUGAUCCUGCAGGAAGACCCUCACCAGAUAUGGCCCCUUGAUCUUGGACUUCCCAGCCUCCAGAAUUGACUGGAGUGUCAUAUCUCAGCUUCUCGCCCCUUGAUCUCCAUAUGCCUGGCAAUCUGGAGCUCAGCAGUCCGGAGCUGGUAUAAUGACUCCAUCGUCCUUCUGUCUUGGUCCUUUUGAGUGUGGCUCCAUCAUCCUCAAUGGAAUAAACAAGGAACACCGCUGCUCUGCUCAUUGUGGUCAUGAGUUACAGGGCCCUGGAGAAGCGUGUUGAGGUACUACGGAGUCUUGAUUUCAAUGUGCCAUGUGUGUACUAUGUGUGCUUCUAUAUAACAUGUAUGUAGACUUGGAAGCUUUUCAAACGAAGCUAUAGCUGGACUAGUCAUGUUACAUUUCCCUAAGGCCAAAACCUAAAAUUGACAGCUUUCACUUUGUGUUACAGAAUAAAACCAAGCAAUCAGGACUAGGCAGACCCCUGCCACACAGCUACUUGCUGAUAUCAAUUACUUAGCCUAAUUAUCUUGACAAAGUAUACUAUUCAUUUAAAUCUUUCAUUUUCUGAGACCAUAAUAACAACAGGGACUACAGAAAAAAGUGAUCAUGCCAUCUAGGAAUAACUAAUAUAUAAGAUGUUGAGUUUUGGUCAGAGUCCAGCAUAUAUCCAAGGCCUUAAGACUAAGAAGAUUUGAAAAGUAGUUUAGAGGAAGUUGAAAAUAUAGCUUUAUGAAGAGAGAGCAUUGCCUAAGAGAGAUGGUGGGCUCUAAAAAUGAAAUUCUGACCAUGUUAUGAUAAAUAAAUGUGGAAAUAAGGACAUGAGUAAGACUGCCCAGAAAUCCUCUGAUGAGUUUAGAUUUUGAAAGAAUACAUAUAUAAAGCAAGGAAGGUCAUAUAACCAAGGUCACAAAUUGUGAAAUGUCUAAGAAAAUUGUCAGAAUCGUUAAUGUGCUCAUAAGCCAAAGCUUACAACAGUGACAAAAGCAAUAAAACCAAUCGUUUCAACUCUGUUUAUAUCACUGAUGUGAACAAGAAAGUAAAAUGUACAAUACUGGAGAUGACAGUACAAUGCUAAUAGAUGAGAGAAACAGUUCCAUUGAGGAAAAUUAUUUUCAAAACUUAAACGUCAAGUAUGGGUUAAAGGGGACACAAAUUUCUAGAAAAGGGAGGGCUGCUUAAAUGAAUCCUACCCUCAUUUCCAGAGGAAUCUAAAGGAACUCCUAGGCAUGAUUGUGAGGUAACCAUUGAAUCGAGGACAAACAGAAAUAUGUCGAAAGACAAACAAAACAGAGUCGCUUUGGGUUUACAAAAGGUUGGAGAUUGGGGGUUUGGAAGCAAAUUCUAGAAACAGUAAAUAAAUAAGUAGACAUGAUGUUAUUAUAUUGCAAAAUUCCAGAGAGGACAAUAAAAGAGGUGGCUUGUGGACCUCACAAAACAAAAUGAUGAUCAGUAGGAUCUAGUGAGUAUUCAUAAUGAAAGUCCAUUCCAAAUGGGCUUUCAGUAAAAUAGAUAGAUUAUCUUUUUAGUAAGGUAAAUAGAUGAGCAGAUGUGGGCACAUGCCAUAACCAUGGCACAGAAGAACUGUAAGAUAGCCCCCUUAGAAACUUGAAAUGCAGUUGUUAAAGGUAUGCCAUGCAGGACUUUCUUUCCUUUUUAAAGAAUAAUUUAAUUUUUUAUUAUAUAAGCCAUAUUUUUUAAGUACGUGGACACAGUAUUUCCUUGACUGUAAGAUGUAAUUUAUUGUAAGAUAAUCUAUUAAUUUAAAUAUAGCUUUUUGGGUUGUAAAAAAUAUUUAUAUUAAGUGUAUGAUUUAUCCUCAUUUUGGAAUCACUGAAAUAUAAAAAAAAACAACCUUAGAAUUGAGGAAAUACAUACACAUAUACAAGAACACAUUUACAGAGUUGAAAUCAUACAUUUUGUUCAGUUGGCAUUUUAUUGUAGUUCUUGAUCCCCAUGUCAUAAAAAACUCUAUAAACAUAAUUUCUAGUAAAUCAGUUACAUAUUAUAACUCAUUUAAUUACUACUUUAUUCUGAAAUUUUUUAUUGUUUUUCUUAUAAAAUUGCAAUUUACUUUUCAAAAAUAUUUAUCUGCAUUUCUGAUUAUUUCCUUGGGGUACAUUUCCAGAAGUGGAAUUUUUGAAUGAAACAAUACAUUAUGUUUUAAAGAUUCUUGAUACACACAGUACCAAACUACUUCUCAGAAAGCUUGUACCAAUUCACACUGCCGCUAGCACUUGUUUGAAUGAGGACCCAUCUUACCGGCAUUCAAAAUGUUCUUUCCUUUUCAAAUUCUUUGUUGAUUUAGCAGGGGGAGAAAAAUCUAAUUUUAAUUUGGUUUGAAUUUCAUUAACUACAUAUUUAAUAUUGAAUAUUUUUAUAUGAACAUUAUUGUUUAUGGUUCUUCUGUGAAUUGUCUGUUCUUCCCUUUUAUUCAUUUUUCUAAUGAUAAUUUAUU